rnacentral:rRNA from 1 species
AGAGCGAACGCUGGCGGCAGGCCUAACACAUGCAAGUCGAACGGACUCUUCGGAGUUAGUGGCGGACGGGUGAGUAACACGUGGGAACGUGCCUUUAGGUUCGGAAUAGCUCCUGGAAACGGGUGGUAAUACCGAAUGUGCCCUUCGGGGGAAAGAUUUAUCGCCUUUAGAGCGGCCCGCGUCUGAUUAGCUUGUUGGUGAGGUAAUGGCUCACCAAGGCUACGAUCAGUAGCUGGUCUGAGAGGAUGACCAGCCACAUUGGGACUGAGACACGGCCCAAACUCCUACGGGAGGCAGCGAGUGGGAAUCUUGCGCAAGUGGGACGAAAGCCUGACGCAAGCCAGUCGCCGCGGUGUAUGAUAGAAGGUUCGUUAAGGUAUUAGUAAAAUUACUUUACGACGGUAGAAGAUAA